rnacentral:snoRNA from 1 species
UUCGAACCAAAGAUGAAACCAAUACGGAUGUAAACGAGCACAGCUCGGUUGUCCGAGAGCGCAUAAACCCCAUGUGGAUAUCCCGUUGCCUUCCUUCUGACCUUCUCUC